rfam:Monodelphis domestica chromosome X, whole genome shotgun sequence.
CCAUGGAUAGGGUGUUUUAUUUUGUGAACAUAGCCAAAAUAAACACCUUAUUCUUGGGG